rnacentral:rRNA from 1 species
GCAUAUCAAUAAGCGGAGGAAAAGAAACCAACAGGGAUUGCCCUAGUAACGGCGAGUGAACAGGCAAGAGCUCAGAUUUGAAAGGCACUUUUGUGCCGUUGUAUUCUGAAGUUAGGGUCCUGAGAAACGAUGCUUAAGUCUUCUGGAAAGGAGCGCCAUGGAGGGUGAUAGCCCCGUCUAGCAUUGACCUCAUAUAGGAUCUUAACAUGGAGUCGAGUUGUUUGGGAAUGCAGCUCAAAUGGGUGGUAUGCUCCAUCUAAAGCUAAAUAUCUGCGAGAGACCGAUAGUAAACAAGUACUGUGAGGGAAAGAUGAAAAGAACUUUGAAAAGAGAGUGAAAAAGUACGUGAAAUUGUUGAAAUGGAAGGGUAGGCCGCUAACCAUGUAGAGCCGUGUUUGGGGGGAAGAUAAAUGCUGUAGAAUGUAGCUCCUCGGAGUAUUAUAGAUGCAGUUCAUAUUCCCACCCGAGCGCGAGGAUCUCAGGUUCUACUAAAUGGUGGUCUACCACCCGUCUUGAAACACGGACCAAGGAGUCUAUUGUCUGCGCGAGUAUUUGGGUGUCAAACCCAUAUGCGAAGUGAAAGCGAAAGGUUCUAACCUUCGGGUUCAGAAUCGGCCGACCGUUUAUAGAAGCGGAUUGAGUAGAGCGUGGAUGAUGGGACCCGAAAGAUGGUGAACUAUGCCUGAAUAGGGUGAAGCCAGAGGAAACUCUGGUGGAGGCUCGCAGCGGUUCUGACGUGCAAAUCGAUCGUCAAAUUUGGGUAUAGGGGCGAAAGACUAAUCGAACCAUCUAGUAGCUGGUUCCUGCCGAAGU